AGAGAGAUGGGUGAGUGGUUGAUAGCUCUAGUCUUGAAAACUGGUAUAGUUUGCAAAGAACUAUCGAGGGUUCGAAUCCCUCUCUUCUUU
rnacentral:tRNA from 2 species